GGCGCACGGGUGCGUAACGCGUAUGCAACCUACCUUUAACUGGGAGAUAGCCCCGAGAAAUCGGGAUUAAUACCCCAUAACAUUACGAAUUGGCAUCAAUUUGUGAUUAAAGCUCCGGCGGUUAGAGAUGGGCAUGCGUGACAUUAGCUGGUUGGUGAGGUAACGGCUCACCAAGGCAACGAUGUCUAGGGGUCCUGAGAGGGUUAUCCCCCACACUGGUACUGAGACACGGACCAGACUCCUACGGGAGGCAGCAGUAAGGAAUAUUGGUCAAUGGGCGCAAGCCUGAACCAGCCAUGCCGCGUGCAGGAAGACGGCCCUAUGGGUUGUAAACUGCUUUUAUCAGGGAAUAAACCCCCGCUCGUGAGCGGGGCUGAAGGUACCUGAGGAAUAAGCAUCGGCUAACUCCGUGCCAGCAGCCGCGGUAAUACGGAGGAUGCAAGCGUUAUCCGGAUUCAUUGGGUUUAAAGGGUGCGCAGGCGGAUUGGUAAGUCAG
rnacentral:rRNA from 1 species